rnacentral:rRNA from 1 species
CCCUAUGGGGUGCAGCAGGCGAGAAAACUUUGCAAUGUGCGAAAGCACGACAAGGUUAAUUCGAGUGGUUUGUGCUAAACAGACCUUUUGUUAGUCCUAGAAACACUAACGAAUAAGGGGUGGGCAAGUUCUGGUGUCAGCCGCCGUGGUAAAACCAGCACCUCAAGUGGUCAGGAGGAUUAUUGGGCCUAAAGCAUCCGUAGCCUGCUGUAUAAGUUUUCGGUUAAAUCCAUGUGCUCAACACAUGGGCUGCCGGGAAUACUGUACAGCUAGGGAGUGGGAGAGGUAGACGGUACUCGGUAGGAAGUGGUAAAAUGCUUUGAUCUAUUGAUGACCACCUGUGGCGAAGGCGGUCUACCAGAACACGUUCGACGGUGAGGGAUGAAAGCUGGGGGAGCAAACCGGAUUAGAUACCCGGGUAGUCCCAGCUGUAAACUAUGCAAACUAAGUGAUGCGUUGGCUUGUGGCCAGCGCAGUGCCUCAGGGAAGCCGUUAAGUUUGCCGCCUGGGAAGUACGUACGCAAGUAUGAAACUUAAAGGAAUUGGCGGGGGAGCACCACAAGGGGUGAAGCCUGCGGUUCAAUUGGAGUCAACGCCAGAAAUCUUACCCGGAGAGACAGCAGAAUGAAGGUCAAGCUGAAGACUUUACCAGACAAGCUGAGAAGAGGUGCAUGGCC